rnacentral:rRNA from 1 species
UACGUAGGGUGCGAGCGUUGUCCGGAAUUAUUGGGCGUAAAGAGCUCGUAGGCGGUUUGUCGCGUCUGCUGUGAAAACCCGAGGCUCAACCUCGGGCCUGCAGUGGGUACGGGCAGACUAGAGUGCGGUAGGGGAGAAUGGAACUCCUGGUGUAGCGGUGGAAUGCGCAGAUAUCAGGAGGAACACCAAUAGCGAAGGCAGCUCGCUGGGACGUUACUGACACUGAGGCGCGAAAGCGUGGGGAGCGAACAGG